UACGGAGGGUGCAAGCGUUAUCCGGAUUCACUGGGUUUAAAGGGUGCGUAGGCGGGUAGGUAAGUCCGUGGUGAAAUCUCUGAGCUUAACUCAGAAACUGCCGUGGAUACUAUUUGCCUUGAAUAUUGUGGAGGUGAGCGGAAUAUGUCAUGUAGCGGUGAAAUGCUUAGAUAUGACAUAGAACACCAAUUGCGAAGGCAGCUCACUACACAAUCAUUGACGCUGAGGCACGAAAGCGUGGGGAUCAAACAGG
rnacentral:rRNA from 1 species